UGAACUCUGAUGUCUGACUGUAUUGAUGGGUCUCAGGAGGUUUAUGAGGGAUGAACUCUGAUGUCUGACUGUAUUGAUGGGUCUCAGGAGGUUUAUGAGGGAUGAACUCUGAUGUCUGACUGUAUUGAUGGGUCUCAGGAGGUUUAUGAGGGAUGAACUCUGAUGUCUGACUGUAUUGAUGGGUCUCAGGAGGUUUAUGAGGGAUGAACUCUGAUGUCUGACUGUAUUGAUGGGUCUCAGGAGGUUUAUGAGGGAUGAACUCUGAUGUUGUCUGACUGUAUUGAUGGGUCUCAGGAGGUUUAUGAGGGAUGAACUCUGAUGUCUGACUGUAUUGAUGGGUCUCAGGAGGUUUAUGAGGGAUGAACUCUGAUGUCUGACUGUAUUGAUGGGUCUCAGGAGGUUUAUGAGGGAUGAACUCUGAUGUCUGACUGUAUUGAUGGGUCUCAGGAGGUUUAUGAGGGAUGAACUCUGAUGUCUGACUGUAUUGAUGGGUCUCAGGAGGUUUAUGAGGGAUGAACUCUGAUGUCUGACUGUAUUGAUGGGUCUCAGGAGGUUUAUGAGGGAUGAACUCUGAUGUUGUCUGACUGUAUUGAUGGGUCUCAGGAGGUUUAUGAGGGAUGAACUCUGAUGUCUGACUGUAUUGAUGGGUCUCAGGAGGUUUAUGAGGGAUGAACUCUGAUGUUGUCUGACUGUAUUGAUGGGUCUCAGGAGGUUUAUGAGGGAUGAACUCUGAUGUCUGACUGUAUUGAUGGGUCUCAGGAGGUUUAUGAGGGAUGAACUCUGAUGUUGUCUGACUGUAUUGAUGGGUCUCAGGAGGUUUAUGAGGGAUGAACUCUGAUGUUGUCUGACUGUAUUGAUGGGUCUCAGGAGGUUUAUGAGGGAUGAACUCUGAUGUCUGACUGUAUUGAUGGGUCUCAGGAGGUUUAUGAGGGAUGAACUCUGAUGUCUGACUGUAUUGAUGGGUCUCAGGAGGUUUAUGAGGGAUGAACUCUGAUGUCUGACUGUAUUGAUGGGUCUCAGGAGGUUUAUGAGGGAUGAACUCUGAUGUCUGACUGUAUUGAUGGGUCU